GACGAACGCUGGCGGCGUGCUUAACACAUGCAAGUCGAACGGAAAGGCCCUGCUUUUGUGGGGUGCUCGAGUGGCGAACGGGUGAGUAACACGUGAGUAACCUGCCCUUGACUUUGGGAUAACUUCAGGAAACUGGGGCUAAUACCGGAUAGGAGCUCCUGCUGCAUGGUGGGGGUUGGAAAGUUUCGGCGGUUGGGGAUGGACUCGCGGCUUAUCAGCUUGUUGGUGGGGUAGUGGCUUACCAAGGCUUUGACGGGUAGCCGGCCUGAGAGGGUGACCGGCCACAUUGGGACUGAGAUACGGCCCAGACUCCUACGGGAGGCAGCAGUGGGGAAUAUUGCAUAAUGGGCGGAAGCCUGAUGCAGCAACGCCGCGUGAGGGAUGACGGCCUUCGGGUUGUAAACCGCUUUCGCCUGUGACGAAGCGUGAGUGACGGUAAUGGGUAAAGAAGCACCGGCUAACUACGUG
rnacentral:rRNA from 1 species